rnacentral:rRNA from 1 species
UCGUAGGUCAGCAUACUACGGUGAAUACGUUCCCGGGUCUUGUACACACCGCCCGUCAAACCAUGAGAGUUGGCAACACCCGAAGUCGGUAGUCUAACCGCAAGGAGGACGCCGCCGAAGGUGGGGUUGAUGAUUAGGGUUAAGUCGUAACAAGGUAAC